UGGGGAAUAUUGCACAAUGGAGGGAACUCUGAUGCAGCGACGCCGCGUGAACGAAGAAGGCUUUCGAGUCGUAAAGUUCUUUUAUAUGGGAAGAUAAUGACGGUACCAUAAGAAAAAGCCCCGGCUAACUACGUGCCAGCAGCCGCGGUAAUACGUAGGGGGCUAGCGUUGUCCGGAAUCACUGGGCGUAAAGGGUUCGCAGGCGGAAAUGCAAGUCAGGUGUAAAAGGCAGUAGCUUAACUACUGUAAGCAUUUGAAACUGCAUAUCUUGAGAAGAGUAGAGGUAAGUGGAAUUUUUAGUGUAGCGGUGAAAUGCGUAGAUAUUAAAAGAAUACCGGUGGCGAAGGCGACUUACUGGGCUCAUUCUGACGCUGAGGAACGAAAGCGUGGGUAGCAAACAGGAUUAGAUACCCUGGUA
rnacentral:rRNA from 1 species